UACGGGGGGGGCAAGCGUUGUUCGGAUUUACUGGGCGUAAAGGGAGUGUAGGCGGUUGGCCAAGUCGGAUGUGAAAGCUUCACCACUCAACGGGAAGAGGUCAUCCGAAACUGGCAGGCUAGAGUACUAAAGAGGGUCGCGGAAUUCCCGGUGUAGAGGUGAAAUUCGUAGAUAUCGGGAGGAACACCGGUGGCGAAGGCGGCGACCUGGGUAGAUACUGACGCUGAGGUGCGAAAGCGUGGGGAGCAAACAGG
rnacentral:rRNA from 1 species